rfam:Hordeum vulgare subsp. vulgare, WGS project CAJW01000000 data, contig: morex_contig_1570170
UACAUGCUCCCUCCAUUCUAAAAUUCUUGUCUUAAGUUUGAUUAAAAAUGAAUAUCUAAAUAUUAAAACGUGACUAGAUACAUUUAUAUAUAGACAAAUGUAAGACAAGAUUUUUGGAACGGAGGAAGUAGUAC